GCGCGGGGCAACCUGGCGGCGAGUGGCGAACGGGUGAGUAAUAUAUCGGAACGUACCCUGGAGUGGGGGAUAACGUAGCGAAAGUUACGCUAAUACCGCAUACGAUCUAAGGAUGAAAGUGGGGGCUUCGCAAGAACCUCAUGCUCCUGGAGCGGCCGAUAUCUGAUUAGCUAGUUGGUGGGGUAAAGGCCUACCAAGGCAUCGAUCAGUAGCUGGUCUGAGAGGACGACCAGCCACACUGGAACUGAGACACGGUCCAGACUCCUACGGGAGGCAGCAGUGGGGAAUUUUGGACAAUGGGCGAAAGCCUGAUCCAGCAAUGCCGCGUGAGUGAAGAAGGCCUUCGGGUUGUAAAGCUCUUUUGUCAGGGAAGAAACGGUGAGGGCUAAUAUCCCUUGCUAAUGACGGUACCUGAAGAAUAAGCACCGGCUAACUACGUGCCAGCAGCCGCGGUAAUACGUAGGGUGCAAGCGUUAAUCGGAAUUACUGGGCGUAAAGCGUGCGCAGGCGGUUUUGUAAGUCUGUCGUGAAAUCCCCGGGCUCAACCUGGGAAUUGCGAUGGAGACUGCAAGGCUAGAAUCUGGCAGAGGGGGGUAGAAUUCCACGUGUAGCAG
rnacentral:rRNA from 1 species